GUGCAUGCUGUAAUACUGCAUGCGCGCCAUAUUUAAUUUUCAAAGGCGCGAGGCCUGGAAUUGGACAGCAGUUUUCUUUCUGUAUUACAAGGGUAAUUGAGAAAAGCACAGAGUACCAUCCAAGAGAGCCAGGCCCUGAAAUUGAAGCUUCAUCUGGCAGAAGUCACCAAACAGGAAGCACAGAGAAUGGAGCUAGUGUUAUGUAGUAUGAAUAUAACUUCCUGUUAUCCUUUCAGUCAUUCACCCUCACUUGUUUACAAACUCCCCCAAUGUUAUCUAAGAAUUCCCAAAACCCCCAAUACCAUUUAACUGUUAAACCUUGACCAUAAAAAGACCAACCCUCAGUGACGUCAGCU